rnacentral:rRNA from 1 species
UACGAAGGACCCAAGCGUUAUCCGGAUUUAUUGGGUUUAAAGGGUGCGUAGGCGGGUUAUUAAGUCAGGGGUGAAAGCCUUCAGCUUAACUGAAGAAUUGCCAUUGAUACUGACGAUCUUGAGUAUGAUUGAGGUGGGCGGAAUGUGUCAUGUAGCGGUGAAAUGCUUAGAUAUGACACAGAACACCGAUUGCGAAGGCAGCUCACUAAGUCAUAACUGACGCUGAUGCACGAAAGCGUGGGGAGCAAACAGG